UAGAGCUUGAUCAUGGCUCAGAUUGAACGCUGGCGGCAGGCCUAACACAUGCAAGUCGAGCGGCAGCACAAGGGAGUUUACUUCUGAGGUGGCGAGCGGCGGACGGGUGAGUAAUGCCUAGGGAUCUGCCCAGUCGAGGGGGAUAACAGUUGGAAACGACUGCUAAUACCGCAUACGCCCUACGGGGGAAAGGAGGGGACCUUCGGGCCUUCCGCGAUUGGAUGAACCUAGGUGGGAUUAGCUAGUUGGUGAGGUAAUGGCUCACCAAGGCGACGAUCCCUAGCUGUUCUGAGAGGAUGAUCAGCCACACUGGGACUGAGACACGGCCCAGACUCCUACGGGAGGCAGCAGUGGGGAAUAUUGCACAAUGGGGGAAACCCUGAUGCAGCCAUGCCGCGUGUGUGAAGAAGGCCUUCGGGUUGUAAAGCACUUUCAGUAGGGAGGAAAGGGUGUAGUUUAAUACGCUAUAUCUGUGACGUACCUACAGA
rnacentral:rRNA from 1 species